rnacentral:rRNA from 1 species
AUUGAACGCUGGCGGCAGGCCUAACACAUGCAAGUCGAACGAGUGGCGGACGGGUGAGUAAUGUCUGGGAAACUGCCCGAUGGAGGGGGAUAACUACUGGAAACGGUAGCUAAUACCGCAUACCAUCGGAUGUGCCCAGCGGGGAUUAGCUAGUAGGUGGGGUAACGGCUCACCUAGGCGACGAGCCCUAGCUGGUCUGAGAGGAUGGCCGGCCAGACGGGAACUGAGGCACGGUCCAGACUCCUACGGGGGGCAGCAGUGGGGAAUAUUGCACGAUGGUCGAAAGCCUGAUGCAGCCAUUUCGCGUGUAUUAAGAAGGCCUUCGGGUUGUAAAGUACUUUCAGCGAGGAGGCGGUACUCGAAGAAGAAGCACCGGCUAACUCCGUGCCAGCAGCCGCGGUAAUAC